UUUUAUGGAGAGUUUGAUCCUGGCUCAGAGUGAACGCUGGCGGCGUGCCUAAUACAUGCAAGUCGAACGAUGAAGCUUUUAGCUUGCUAGAAGUGGAUUAGUGGCGCACGGGUGAGUAAGGUAUAGUUAAUCUGCCCUACACAAGAGGACAACAGUUGGAAACGACUGCUAAUACUCUAUA
rnacentral:rRNA from 2 species